ensembl:lncRNA
GUACAUGGUAGUCAGGGCUUCCGGGGGGUCAGGGACUUUUUCUUUUUCUUGCCAGGUGGCCCAUGGAGCAGUGCCCAUAAUUUAGUCUGGUUUCUGUAUUUUGUUUUCUUUUUUGGUCUGUUUCAUCUAAAUGAUGGGUCAGCUUGUCCCACAUAUCUAAAAACUUACUUUUUACUUUUAUAGUUGAGGGCCUUGGGCUUGUACAAUUCCCUUUCUGGGAGGGGGUCUUUCAUUCCCCCAUUUUCUUUUUGUCCUUGAGUGGAAUCUUCCACUCAACUUGGUUAAGGUACCUCUGUUUUUUGUUGUUUUACCAUCUGAUACUGUUGUCUCAGCACAAAAGUUUGAAUGACUGAAAGUCUGUAUCUCUUAUUAUUCUUGUCUGAUCUGUAUAGAAACAACAUUUUUCUUUUAGUGUAGCACACAGACUCUUUUUUUAAGGAAUAUCAGGUCUACUCUUUUUCUAUUUUGAAGGACUACCUCUGAGAGGGAGGUUAGGUAUUCUUGGAGGUCAGCUAAAAAGUCUUUUUUAUUCUUUUUUGCAUUGUAGAGCAACUGAAGAUGUCCUUGUGCUGCCCUUGUAGCACCUAGAUAGCCUUAAAUAAUUUUCAACUCUCUUUUGUGUCUUAUUAAGUCUUUAGCAUCAGGAUUUUAAUCUGGACACUAUCUGAACCUAUAAAUCAAGGUCUUUUAGAACUUCUAAACUUAUAUAGGUUGUGAUCCCUGAGGCACAGUCCCAAGAAGUGUUAGGAGUACUAACAUAUGUAAUGUUACAUCAUUUGUAAUAAAAAUCAAGCCUAUCUUUAUACCUAUUUCGAGGGAACCCAGGGCAAACAGGCAAACAUGAAAUUCUUGUUUCUAAAACACACUCCUCAAGUGAGCAUUAUAGCAACCUCUCAAUCACUUAAGUCUAGGGAGCUUUUUGAAGAUCUGAGUGUCCCUCUAGGUCCCAGCUCUUAGCCCCAACAGCUAGUACGCUGCUGGUGAGGGCUGAGACUUGAUGGCUGUCAGGGUGGUCAGCAGCACCAGGUAUGGUCCUUUUCAGCGAGGCUCGAGUGUCUGGGCUCAGUGUAGCUGUAGUCUCUAACCUGGAACUGAUGACAUGUCUCAGGGGUCCCCGGGGCAUAGGCUGCUGUCAGCUGUGAGCAGAUUUCUUUUUGUAUCACCUGUAGGUCUUUUAGCCUGGCACACAAAUCAUUAUUACUAUGACAUGUUGGUUCAGUAACAUCAUCUAAUAUAGUCAGGGGAGCUGAGGCCCCAUAUAAGAUCUCAAAGGGGGUAAAGCUGAAUCUGGAAGGGGUAUUUCUUGCUCUGAAGAGAGCAAGAGGGAAGGAGUGUCACCCAGUCUACGCCAGUCUCCAUGGUCAAUUUGGUCAGGGUCUCUUUUAGAGUCUUAUUUAUUCUCUCUAUCUGUCCUGAACUUUGAGGUCUGUAAAUAUAACGUAAUUUUUAAUCAACCUCUAAGUACUUGGCCACACCCUGGCUUACCUUGGCAACGAAAGUAGGACUGUUGUCUGACCAGAUUACCUUGGGCAUUCCAAAUCGGGAGAAGAUUUCUUCUAGUAUCUUCUUGAUGACUAUUGAGGCCGUCUCUUGCUUGGUGGGGAAAGCUUUUACCUAUUUCUGAAAAGAUAUCUAUAAAUACUAGGAGACAUUUAUAUCCAUAUUUUCCUGGUUUUAUCUCUGUGAAGUCCGCUUCUCAGUAGGAUCCAGGCCGUUCCCCACGGAGCCUCCUACCACAGUCAACUUUCCUGAAAACAGUUACCUUUUGGCGUGGUAUACAUCAGUGUACUAUCUGUUCCACGAGAUACUUGAGACCUGUGACAUAAUAUUUAGUUUUUGAAAAUGUCUGGAUGAGUUUGCUUACCCCUAAGUGAGUCUAUUGAUGCAUUUGUUUUAUCAUGGCCUCUGUCUAUUUUUGUAGCAGGAUCUUCUUUCUCGUUGAGGUGUACCAGAGUCUCUUCCUCGGCCUGGCUGGGUCAUGGAGGGCCCUUAACAUAGCCAGAAUCUCUUUUUUUUCUUGUCCUCAGAUGUCAGCAGGCCCCUCUGCUGAUGGGCUGUAGCAAAGGCAUACGUGCUGUCCACAUAGAUGUUAAGUCUCUUUCUCAGCCCAAGGGCUUUGGUGAGGGGAGCGAGCUCUACUCUCUGAGUAGUGGUGCCUUCUGGUAGGGCCUGAACCCAUAUGACUCUGUUUCCAUCAACCACUGUUGCCCCAGCCCAUCUUUUUUCUUCUCUAAGAAGCUGCUCCCAUCUAUGAGCCAGAUGGCAUCUACCCCAUCUGUUGGCUGAUCAGUCUGAUCUUUAUGCCACUCCUGUGCUUUAGUGAGCUCCUGUUGACAGUCAUGAAGGGGGAUGUCUAGGUCAGGGUCCGGGAGCAGGGUUGCAGGGUUUAGACUCGUAGGGGCAGUCUGGGAUCACAAGGAACAAGUGGGAUACCCGGCCCACGCCAAGGUCCACCGUUCUUCGGGUAGUCCAUGAGUAUCAUUUGUUGCCAGUAGCCCCUUGCACUCAAGGUCUUUUGCUUGACACUAGCCCAUUUGGGCGUAGGAGCACAGAGUGUUGGGCCCCCGUAUUCACAAAACAACUGGGCCGGCUUCCCUUCUAUCUUAGCGUAUAGCCAGCACUCUAGAACCAAGAGGCUUGCCUUCCGGGUUGCUGGAGAGGCCCUUCUUGUUCUUCCUGGGGCAGUCCCUGACCCAUUGUCCUUUUUCCUUGUGAUAAGCACACUGAUCUUUAGCUAGGAAUUCUCUUCUGUUGCCAGGUACUGUCUUCCUAGGUUCCCUAACUACUGUGGCCAGUAUAUAUUCCUCUCUUGUCUUUUAUCUCUCUUUAGCUCUCUAGCUUUUUUUUUUUUAGCUUCUUGUUCUUUUUAUCUUUUUUUUCUCUUUCUCAGUCUCUCUCUCAUAUCUUCUGUAUCUUCCUCUUCUUUUACAGCUAUUAGAUGCUGUCCACUUAUGUAACUACACUUUAACUUUACUUUCUCUGUAACUUACACUAACUCUCAGCAACUUAGCUUAACCCUUUAAAUUUUUGUAACUUUUUUUCUUUAUAUCUUUUUCUUAUCUUAGCCAGAUUGGUGGGGCAUUUUCCAGCCCCUCGGAGACCCACCCUUGGAGCCUGGUGGCAGACCUGGAGCACUCCCUACCUUCAGGGGUAUUCAAGUCAACAGUCAGGAGUGAGGGUCUUCUAUCCAUGUCUGGAACAUUCUUUCUGGCCUCCAGUAGGAUUCUGUCUUUCCUCAGUGGUAAAGAAGACCUGUAACAGUUACUAACAAGCAUCUCAAAUGGGAUGGUGAGAAAACAAGAGAAUCUUGAGAAUAGAGGUCCACUGAAGAGGACAAAUAGCAUUUAGUCACACAGCUAAACCAGGAGGACUUUUUGGGACAAAAAGGCUGUUGUAAAAAUAAGCACAAGCUUUGUGUCUGUGAAACAGAACGGCAAGCAGAGAGGGAGCUGAUCUGUUACCCCGACUAUCUCUCUGGACUUAAGAACUAAUAACAAAAGGAUGGAGAGAUGGCUAGGACCUGGGUGCUAGAUGCCAAGUGGCUGACAAAAGAAUUGUAACCAGUUCACCUGGGACUUUCAGGACCUCAGUAGCAGCCCUUUAUCAAACUGUCUCAGUGGGCUAAAGGCCCAUGGAAAAGAAAACAUUAAUCCUGACCUUGGCCACAGCCAAAGCCUGAAUUCUAAAUUUUGACUGGCAAAACAAAGUUCUUCACAGUUUGUUGUAGAUUCCCUCCGAAACUAUCUCAGGGGCUUUUCUGUCCCCCAACCUGGGGCAUUUUGACCACAGGGGUAGGAACUGGCUGCUGUGGGGAUAGGAUCAAAGGCACUCUCCAUGUCAAUGAUGACUAACAGGGAAGGUUACUUAAUGUUGGAGAUCAACUCCUCUCUUGGAAUAGGGCCAGCAGAUAAGGCAGGCUCCCUUAAAGAACUUCUCUUAAUGAACACUCUCCUUCUGUGAGCAAGUGUUGAAGGUCUGGCCACUGAAAGCAGCAACUGGAAUUAUUAUUUUUUUUUCUCAGGGCCAAAAGUCUCAUAAAAACAACCACUAACUCUAUAUUAUCUUAUUGUUGUCAAAGCGUCAACCCCGGCCGGCCUCAUCACCUUGAAACUCCUCUUACGCUGACUUGGCCUGAGCUGCGCCACUGCCCACGCGCAGCCUGCAGCUUGCUAGCAGGCCUGCAUGCUUGUCACCCUCAGCCCCUACAUUUUCCUACUCUGUGUUGUCCCUUCCUUAGAAGCUGUGAAUGUUUAAGCAACAGGGAGAAUUUUUCUUCAGGAUCCAAGGUAAAGCUUUCAGGUUCUUGUUAAUGCCUGCUUCAGACAGGGUCACUCACUAACCUGGAGUUCUUCAUACACAACUGUUAACAGCAGCUAGAAUGGACAAGGGGAGCAAAGGGAGGGGCAUCUCUCCUUGGGGAGGAGGCUCAAGAGAGAAAGAUAAAACUCCCCAGCAGAAAACAAUUUUUCUCAAGCAAAUUAUUUCCAAGUUAAGCACCAAGAGGACCAAGUAAAACUCCUUGACAAACAAAGCAAACAGUUUCAUGAUUUUAAACACAGUCGUCAGUCUAAGAUUUUAAACACAGUCGUCUAUCCAAAGUUCAAAAACGAAACAAAAGCCAAAAAGACACUGGACAAUACCACAGAAAACAAACCAGACAAACAAGACCAAGACAAAGCAUCCUAUAACCAAUUUCCACAGAUAUUCAAAGAAAAUUAGGACACAAAGAAGACAAACAAUUUUAACAGUCAGACAGACAGACGCACCGCGCGGCUUCGGUGUCAAACUGAAACCAAAAAUUCAGACAGAGGCGACAAGGGUCCGGAUCCUUCAGUGGAUCCGGCUCUCUCCUCUCUCCUCCAACCCAAAACCACGUAUCCUUCCGAUACAGGCUGAGCCCCGAAAAACCGGGCUCUAAACACCCUUGGAACGUCUUCCAGGGCUGCGGGGGAGAAGUCUGAGCUCGUCAGCUCCUUCUCUGGCCCGCCCAAAUACAAACAGUCUAGACCCAAGCCAAGUAACUAAGCAUUUACAGAACAAGUCACAAAGCAAGACAAGACAGGACAAGACAAACACUGGCCAGCUUACCUCCCGGUGGGUGGUCGGUGGUCUCUAGGCAGAGGAUCUCCGAUCCCGGACGAGCCCCCAUAUGUAAGACUCUCAGAGAGAAUCUUCCCUCAGGAGGGAGAUCCUCAAGCCCAAUGACCAGUCCGAGUCCACAGGCUGUAAUCAGCAAGAGGAUUUUUAUUGAUCAGGAUACACAGGUAUCUGUGGGCGUCCCAGUCAAUUCGGAAGACUGGCGCGCCUAG